UGAACUUUUCUUUUUAUUUAUCAGUUGUUUUUAACUGUAUUUAUUUCAUUGUUGAUUUUUUUUUAUCAUUGUAUAUAAUCUGUUGUGUUUUUGUUUGCAGUUUUCUAUUAAAAUAAAACCACAAACUUACUAUGUUUAAUUGUUAUUUUUAUUUUAAUUUUGUUAUGAAUGGUGAAUUUUAUGGUCCCUUGUAUUUACAGAAACAGUUUUUAAAUGUUUUAAACAAUAAAAGAAUUUUAAUAUGUCCGUUCCCUUAAAUAGUUUCUUUUUAAAAUUACAGAAUCUGAAAAGGUAUACAACAGUUUUUAUUUUCGUUGUGUUUAUUUGUAUACUUGAAGAUGAAUCUGUAAAAUUACUUGCCAUUUAAAACUAGAAUUUAAAGUCUGAAAUCCUAAUAUUUAUUGCAGUUGUUUUGUUAACUGUUAAAAAUUUGCUUGAAAAUUGAUUAUUUCUGUUCGCAUUUUUUUGUGGCAAAUGUUUUUAGACGGGCCAGUAGUGUUAAGAUUAUGAUUUUUUCACCAAUUAUUUUCUUUUAUUUCCCUGUGUGAUGUGCAAGUUUUUAAUUAUUAUAUUUUUGUGAUAUUGUAUGAAGUUCAGGUUAUUGUGUACAAUCUAGCCGUGUGACUUAAAAUUUGGUUAAAGGGGUCUCAAUAUAUCAGAAUGAAUUUAAAAUGGAUAUUGAUUUAUCAACAAAAAAAUGAUGCAAUUUUAUAAUAUAAGCUGUUGCUUUUUGGCUUUGAAAGUUUAUGGUUUCAGAAUUGAAUUUGUUAUAAGCUAAGGAGUGAGUAGUUUGUCUAUGUUUUCAUUACAAAAUUAAAUAUUUUAAAUUCAUUUUUGAUAAUGGCAAGCUGAUCAGCAAUGUGUAUUGUAGAGUGAAAAAAAUACAUUGAUUUAGUUGUAGAGCUCCAUUGUUAAACUGUACCUUUUCUGGCCUCAUAAUGUUUAGCAAUAAUGCUAUGUUAAAAAUAUUAGUAGAAAAAAUAUCAGUUUGAAAAGGUGUAAAUUUAAAGCAAUAAAAAGGUACAUGGAUUGUGACAGUUGAACAAUGCAACCUUCAAGUAAAUCACAAUGAUAUAGUUAUAGUAUUGAAUCAUAUAUUGUAUGAAUAGACAUACAGUCCCGAAUAUGACCGAGUUAAACAUUGUUUACUCAUAAUACUGAUUAAGACUUUAUGAGUUGAGUUGUGUUAAUGACAAUUCCUCUAAUCAUGGACUUGACUUUUUGAAACGUGAGUUGAGUUGCAACUCCUCACUACAAGGAUAAGAAAUUUCAACUGGAUAUUGAAAAAUGUACAUACAUGAGCGUUUUUUUCUUUUCAGUUAUGUAGAAGCGAGUAGCUGAAAUUUUUGUUUAUUUUAUAAUAAUUUCUGUUGUGUUUCAUAAAAGGAAACUUUACUAACAACGCUAAGGGACAGAGGUGUAAGAUAGAAGAGAUUUUAGUAUAGUUAUGUUGAAUGUACAAGACCAGAGUCUUAAGUUUAAAUAUUUUAUGUACGAGUAGGAUCUAUUAUGGAAGGAUAUUUUAUGUGAUUAUUCAAGGGAGAAAACUUGUGUGUCAAUUCGGAGAUUUCAUUUAGAAAUACCAAAUACUUUAAAUUUAUAAUAUGCAGCAUUUUACUAAAUAAUUUUUUUUAAACAAAGGCCUUUUUUCAGACAUUCAGGUUUAUUCCUCAGUCUGUUUUUUAACUGAUUCAUGAGCUGGUUUCAGGCAUACUGAAUUAAGAAAUGAAUAGAAAAAAAAUAAAACAUCAAAGUAUGUUUUGGAAAUAACAGAAAAUUUUAUGAUCUUAGAAAUGGAACUCUGAUUUAGCAGUCCCGCUGUAGGCAAAAUGUACUUAAAAAAGAAAAUUCGACUCUUCCUUGAAUAAUCAAGAUUUAAUUUCAAGUGUACUGUUUGUUACAACAAUAUUAUUAUUUGAGAUGGAUUAGUUUCAGGACAAAAGAUGUCAUUUUUCUUUUUCUACUAAUUUGAUUUUGAUAAGACCAGAGAUGUCAUGUAAUGAAUGUUUAUAAUGUUGUCAUGGUAAUGAUAUUUUGAAACAUGUCAUGGAAACCUAGAGUUGUCAUGUGACUUUUAUCUAACGUUUUAUGUCAGGGUAGUUGAUACCAGGAUACUGUGGAACUGUGGGAUUGUUUUUCUUUUUACUAUUCUCACAGACCACUUUUAUACUGUCAUGAAAAAUUAAAAAAUCUGCAGAAAAAUUUAUUGUUUUUAUUUUACUAUGUUUCCAAUUUUAUAGGACUGGA
rnacentral:lncRNA from 1 species